CAGCAAGAAGGUGGAGACAACAGCAAGAAGGUAGAGACAACAGCAAGAAGGGCAAGAAGGUGGAGACAACAGCAAGAAGGUAGAGACAACAGCAAGAAGGUAGAGACAACAGCAAGAAGGUAGAGACAACAGCAAGAAGGGCAAGAAGGUAGAGACAACAGCAAGAAGGUAGAGACAACAGCAAGAAGGUAGAGACAACAACAAGAAGGUAGAGACAACAGCAAGAAGGUAGAGACAACAGCAAGAAGGUAGAGACAACAGCAAGAAGGUAGAGACAACAGCAAGAAGGUAGAGACAACAGCAAGAAGGUGGAGACAACAGCAAGAAGGUAGAGACAACAGCAAGAAGGUAGAGACAAC